UUAAGCGACUAAGCGUACACGGUGGAUGCCCUGGCAGUCAGAGGCGAUGAAGGACGUGCUAAUCUGCGAAAAGCGUCGGUAAGGUGAUAUGAACCGUUAUAACCGGCGAUGUCCGAAUGGGGAAACCCAGUGCAAUUCGUUGCACUAUCGUUAACUGAAUACAUAGGUUAACGAGGCGAACCGGGGGAACUGAAACAUCUAAGUACCCCGAGGAAAAGAAAUCAACCGAGAUUCCCCCAGUAGCGGCGAGCGAACGGGGAGCAGCCCAGAGUCUGAAUCAGCUUGUGUGUUAGUGGAACGGUCUGGAAAGUCCGACGGUACAGGGUGAUAGUCCCGUACACCAAAAUGCACAGGUUGUGAACUCGAAGAGUAGGGCGGGACACGUGGUAUCCUGUCUGAAUAUGGGGGGACCAUCCUCCAAGGCUAAAUACUCCUGACUGACCGAUAGUGAACCAGUACCGUGAGGGAAAGGCGAAAAGAACCCCGGCGAGGGGAGUGAAAAAGAACCUGAAACCGUGUACGUACAAGCAGUGGGAGCACCUUCGGGUGUGACUGCGUACCUUUUGUAUAAUGGGUCAGCGACUUAUAUUCUGUAGCAAGGUUAACCGUAUAGGGGAGCCGCAGGGAAACCGAGUCUUAACUGGGCGUUAAGUUGCAGGGUAUAGACCCGAAACCCGGUGAUCUAGCCAUGGGCAGGUUGAAGGUUGGGUAACACUAACUGGAGGACCGAACCGACUAAUGUUGAAAAAUUAGCGGAUGACUUGUGGCUGGGGGUGAAAGGCCAAUCAAACCGGGAGAUAGCUGGUUCUCCCCGAAAGCUAUUUAGGUAGCGCCUCGUGAAUUCAUCUUCGGGGGUAGAGCACUGUUUCGGCUAGGGGGUCAUCCCGACUUACCAACCCGAUGCAAACUACGAAUACCGAAGAAUGUUAUCACGGGAGACACACGGCGGGUGCUAACGUCCGUCGUGAAGAGGGAAACAACCCAGACCGCCAGCUAAGGUCCCAAAGUCAUGGUUAAGUGGGAAACGAUGUGGGAAGGCACAGACAGCCAGGAUGUUGGCUUAGAAGCAGCCAUCAUUUAAAGAAAGCGUAAUAGCUCACUGGUCGAGUCGGCCUGCGCGGAAGAUGUAACGGGGCUAAACCAUGCACCGAAGCUGCGGCAGCGACACUAUGUGUUGUUGGGUAGGGGAGCGUUCUGUAAGCCUGCGAAGGUGGCCUGUGAGGGUUGCUGGAGGUAUCAGAAGUGCGAAUGCUGACAUAAGUAACGAUAAAGCGGGUGAAAAGCCCGCUCGCCGGAAGACCAAGGGUUCCUGUCCAACGUUAAUCGGGGCAGGGUGAGUCGACCCCUAAGGCGAGGCCGAAAGGCGUAGUCGAUGGGAAACAGGUUAAUAUUCCUGUACUUGGUGUUACUGCGAAGGGGGGACGGAGAAGGCUAUGUUAGCCGGGCGACGGUUGUCCCGGUUUAAGCAUGUAGGCUGGUUAUCCAGGCAAAUCCGGAUAAUCAAGGCUGAGGUGUGAUGACGAGGCACUACGGUGCUGAAGUAACAAAUGCCCUGCUUCCAGGAAAAGCCUCUAAGCAUCAGGUAACAUCAAAUCGUACCCCAAACCGACACAGGUGGUCAGGUAGAGAAUACCAAGGCGCUUGAGAGAACUCGGGUGAAGGAACUAGGCAAAAUGGUGCCGUAACUUCGGGAGAAGGCACGCUGGUGUGUAGGUGAAGUCCCUGCGGAUGGAGCUGAGACCAGUCGAAGAUACCAGCUGGCUGCAACUGUUUAUUAAAAACACAGCACUGUGCAAACACGAAAGUGGACGUAUACGGUGUGACGCCUGCCCGGUGCCGGAAGGUUAAUUGAUGGGGUUAUCCGUAAGGAGAAGCUCUUGAUCGAAGCCCCGGUAAACGGCGGCCGUAACUAUAACGGUCCUAAGGUAGCGAAAUUCCUUGUCGGGUAAGUUCCGACCUGCACGAAUGGCGUAAUGAUGGCCAGGCUGUCUCCACCCGAGACUCAGUGAAAUUGAACUCGCUGUGAAGAUGCAGUGUACCCGCGGCAAGACGGAAAGACCCCGUGAACCUUUACUAUAGCUUGACACUGAACAUUGAGCCUUGAUGUGUAGGAUAGGUGGGAGGCUUUGAAGCGUGGACGCCAGUCUGCGUGGAGCCAACCUUGAAAUACCACCCUUUAAUGUUUGAUGUUCUAACGUUGGCCCCUGACCGGGGUUGCGGACAGUGUCUGGUGGGUAGUUUGACUGGGGCGGUCUCCUCCCAAAGCGUAACGGAGGAGCACGAAGGUUAGCUAAUCCUGGUCGGACAUCAGGAGGUUAGUGCAAUGGCAUAAGCUAGCUUGACUGCGAGCGUGACGGCGCGAGCAGGUGCGAAAGCAGGUCAUAGUGAUCCGGUGGUUCUGAAUGGAAGGGCCAUCGCUCAACGGAUAAAAGGUACUCCGGGGAUAACAGGCUGAUACCGCCCAAGAGUUCAUAUCGACGGCGGUGUUUGGCACCUCGAUGUCGGCUCAUCACAUCCUGGGGCUGAAGUAGGUCCCAAGGGUAUGGCUGUUCGCCAUUUAAAGUGGUACGCGAGCUGGGUUUAGAACGUCGUGAGACAGUUCGGUCCCUAUCUGCCGUGGGCGCUGGAGAAUUGAGGGGGGCUGCUCCUAGUACGAGAGGACCGGAGUGGACGCAUCACUGGUGUUCGGGUUGUCAUGCCAAUGGCACUGCCCGGUAGCUAAAUGCGGAAGAGAUAAGUGCUGAAAGCAUCUAAGCACGAAACUUGCCCCGAGAUGAGUUCUCCCUGAGACUUUAAGUCUCCUGAAGGAACGUUAAAGACGAUGACGUUGAUAGGCCGGGUGUGUAAGCGCAGCGAUGCGUUGAGCUAACCGGUACUAAUGAACCGUGAGGCUUAACCUU
rnacentral:rRNA from 1 species